rnacentral:lncRNA from 1 species
AUUAACUUCGUUUGCCUCCUACUCGAAGUUGUCUCUCCUUAAAGAACCUGCUUCAACCUUGACCGGAACCAUUGCCUCAGGAUCUUUAGAGCAAGUGAACUACCCCCCGAGUGAUUGUCACACAUUUCUUCAUGAACUUCCAUCAUCUACCAGGAUGAUAAUGGAGCUGGGCUUCGGAAGAGUCCUUUGUUGGUUGGCUUUAAAGAUGCGUUCUAUUGACGCAACCAAAUGUGUCUAAUGAUUAGAUCUUUCAUCAUAGUCCCGAGGUGGUGUGUUGUUUCUUCUAUAGGUAAUAUUGUCUCUGCUUGGAUGUUGACGUCUGCUUCUAUGUUCCGGUCUGGAAGAUUGUUCUCGUCUCCCGAGGUUGUGUUCUUGUAGUUGACGGGCGAAGGAUCCUUGAUGACUUCGGCAAAGAGUGAUUCUUGACUGGAAGUGACGUUUUUCCUCCAUCAAAGUGGUGUCGAGAUAAUCCUGAGGGUGUUGAUGUCGAUAGCCUCGAUCCCUGGAAUGUUCUGGACAUUAGGUUGGACACGCGUCGUAGAUGGGAUUCUCCCUGUAGUUAUGAGGUCGCUUGGCGGUGGAGCAAGGAGAUUCGAUGACAUGGCAAGAUUUGAUGGAGCAAGGAGAUUUGACGACGAAGCAAGAUUUGAUGAUGAGUUGAUGGUGGAACGAGAAGAUUGCCGAUGUCUGUUGUCUAGUUAUGUGGUUGACUUGAGCAUCUAUGAGAUUGAAGUGGAGCGUGUCUGUGCCUAAGGUGUGCCAUGUUAGAAGGAGGUGCACCUUCUAACAUACUUUUUCCCUGCAAGGGAUACAACCAAUACAACAUAUCGUAUACAAGUGUUAGGAAGAGUAUUUACCUCAGGGCGCUCCCAGUCAGGGGAAGGCGCGCCUAAACUAACAUUCUUCCUCCCUGCAAAGGACCCGACUAACACAAUAUACCGUACACAAGUACAAGAAGAAUAUUUACCUUAGGCGCGCCCAGUCAGGGGGAGGCGCGCUCAUCGAUACAUUGUGCCAGCCGUGGGACUUGCUUCCUUCCGAAACCCUGAGAAAGUCUCCAGAUCCGAGAAUCACGCUUCCCUCAUGUGUUGGCUUCUGGAACCUUCACUCCGAUCUUGCCUUCAUCUUUCGCCCUCACAACCGUGCCUUGUUCAAUAUCGAUAACAAACAACAAUGCUUACCGUUGUCUUCCCCUUCUGAACAUGCUUCUCCAUCGAACCCGUCUUCUUUUCCUUCAUAACGGGCUUCUCUUUCGAUCUCGUCUUCUUCUCCUUCAAGACGGACUUCUCCUUCGAUCCCGUCUUCUUCUCCUUCAUAACGGAAUUCUCCUUCGAUCUUGUCUUCUUCUCCUUCAUAACGUACUUCUCCUUCGAUCCCAUUAUCUAUCCCUUCCGAACAGACUUCUUAGAUAAUUCAUCGGUACUCACCAUGAUUGGCGGCGACCAGGCGAUCGGCGGUCGUAGACUGACGUUGUCUCCAUCUGUUAUCACAAUUGCCUGUUCCUGGGGGGUGUCCCCGACCGUGAUGUCGUCCGUCCAUCGGUGUUGCUUGUCUUUCCAAUGUUGUCUCCACUGGAUCUAGGAUCGGGGUGCUGGUUCCCGUCGGGCGUUCUCUCGCCGUGGUUCGACAUCUUUCUCCUUGAUGGAAAAUCUUGAACUACCCCUCCUUCUAGCGCCAAUUUGUUAACGGAGAAAACUGGUAGGUUAACAAAGAUGAGGUUCGCGGCGUGGAUCAAGAUUCUUGUUGGCGAGAAUGUAGGAAGUGGUUGGUUGUUUGUUAUGGAGGCGGCUGCAAUUGUAAGCAAAGGGUUCGAGAUUGCUAACUGGAAUAGCUCUCAAGAAUGAUCGAUGCCUACAAUCUGCCUACGUACCCCUAUUUAUAGAGGAUCAAGCCGGCACGUAGUUCUUUCUCCUAAGAGACCCAUGUGGACUGGGCCUCCCCUUCUAGAAUCUUCCUCCCGAAAGGGGCCCAAUACGAUGAGGCCUAGCCUUGGGCCUUGCAGACUCUCGAGCACCCAAGGCUUACCCCAAAUGCAUGGACACUACUCCACUCCCCGACAGGGACAACCCGCCAGACUACAGAGGUAGAGCCUUUCAGGGCGCGUCUUCUAUUCUACCUCCACCUCCCAAGGAGGACAACUCCUCAGACUACAAGGUAGGGCCUUCUACAAUUCAACAGUUGGAUUUACUUAUGUUUAAGGGCGUCCCCCUAAACAAAAGCAUCUCCUUCUGUCCUUCUGAACCAUUGCUAACUGAACUGUCUUCGGCAAGAUGGCGCGCCCAAAGAUAGGGCGCGCCCUAUCUUUCUACAGGGUCACUUCUAAAUCGGGUUGAUCUUGAUUCUUCUGGCCCAACCAAGUCUUCUUUUGUGGGCCUGGCCCAUGAAGUCGGUCUUCAUAUAAAUCAUUUUCUUAUAAAGCUGAGAUGUGUCUUCUCCCUCCAAUCAGGGCGCGCCCUCAUGGAGGUCCUUCUGGGUACGGUCAGAUAUGUAGUUGCUGUCAGAUAUGUGGACACGGCCUGAUAUGUGGACGCGGCCUGGCAUGUGGACGCGGCCUGACAUCAUGUGGACGCGGCCUGGCAUGUGGCCACGGCCUGACAUGUGGGCGCGGCCUGACAUCAUGUGGACGCGGCCUGGGAUGUGGGCGCAGCCAGACAUGUGGGAGCGGCCAGACAUGUGGUCGCGGCCUGGCAAGUGGGCGCGGCCUGGCAUGUGGACGCGUCCUGGCAAGUGGGCGCGACCUGGCAUGUGGACGCGCCCUGGCAUUAAAGCGGCCUAGCAUGUGGACGCGCCCUGGCAAGUGGGCGCGGCCUAGCAUGUGAUCCAGCCCAAUCUUGAAUAUGUCAGCCCAAAAUAGUUUUCCACCUAAAGCGCGCCCUUACUAGAGGUUCUUCUGGACGUGGCCAGAUAUGUGGGCGCGCCUACAUAUGAUUGGAGGCCUAACAACCGAGUGAUUGGAGGUCUUUCAUGGAGGCGCCUGUUAAGUUGGCGGCGCCAGUUAAGUGGGCGCGCCCACUUACUGAGCAGCCUAAUUCUGACCAUGUCCGGGCCCAAACAACAUAUCUCCGGUUUUCUAGUGGAUUUGUCUCAUUAGGCAAUCUCAUGUCUUCCUUCCAUCAAGGCGCUCCCAGAUUUUGGGUCUUCUUGGAGGAGCCAAAUAAGUGGGCGCGACCACAUUCUAAGCGGCCUCCAUCAAGUGCUUGUUGAUUUUUUGGUAACUUUCUCUCCCGGCUAGUUGAAUGCCUUGUAAUGGUAUUUUGAAGUUUUGAUCAUUUCUGAAGGCGCGCCUAGAACAAAUGUCGUCUCCAAGAUAUUAAGCUCAAAUUAUACCUCUGGCCUCCAAUAUUUUACUCAUAGCUCGUCUCAGGUUUCAUAGUUUUGUCCAGGUCAACAACUUAUAUGUUGGUAUUUGUCCUCGGUCUUCAGCUUACAUCCUGCGUCUUGUUCUAGGUCUUUGGGCUUCGACUUGCAUUCUCGGUCUUGUUCUGGAUCUUCGGUCUUCGACCUGUAUCCUUGGGCUUGUCUUGCGCCUUCAACCUGUAUCUAAGAGCAUGUCCAGGGUUUCCGACCCGAACUCGGAACUUAUCUUGUGUCUCCGACCUGCACUCGGAGCCUUUCCUGGAUCUCUUGCCUAUACUCGGAGCUUGUCCUGAGUCUCCGACCUAUACCCCGGAAUGUGUUCGGGGACUUCAGCCUUCAACCUGUAACAUGGAGCUUGCCCUAAGUCUUCUCUCACAAUCCUCCACAAUAUAUACCUCCGAGACGAGCUUUCCCUGUAAGUGCUCCAAGCAAUGUGUCUCUACAAAGAGUCCACAUCUGAUUCGAUAGGGUCCUUCCUAGUUAGCAUCGAACACUCCAUGAUUUUGGCACUUUCAUCCCUGACAUCAUCCUGCACUAGGUCUCCCCUAUUCAAAGGAUUGGCCUUGACCUUGCUAUUGUAGAAUCGAGUUGUUCUCUGUUAAUAUGCUGCUUCCUGAGCUGUGACUCGCUUCUGACUUCUUCCAUCAUAUUGGGGGUGAAGCCUCUGAUUAACUUCGUUUGCCUCCUACUCGAAGUUGUCUCUCCUUAAAGAACCUGCUUCAACCUUGACUGGAACCAUUGCCUCAGGAUCUUUAGAGCAAGUGAACUACCCCCCGAGUGAUUGUCACACAUUUCUUCAUGAACUUCCAUCAUCUACCAGGAUGAUAAUGGAGCUGGGCUUCGGAAGAGUCCUUUGUUGGUUGGCUUUAAAGAUGCGUUCUAUUGACGCAACCAAAUGUGUCUAAUGAUUAGAUCUUUCAUCAUAGUCCCGAGGUGGUGUGUAGUUUCUUCUAUAGGUAAUAUUGUCUCUGCUUGGAUGUUGACGUCUGCUUCUAUGUUCCGGGCUGGAAGAUUGUUCUCGUCUCCCGAGGUUGUGUUCUUGUAGUUGACGGGCGAAGGAUCCUUGAUGACUUCGGCAAAGAGUGAUUCUUGACUGGAAGUGACGUUUUUCCUCCAUCAAAGUGGUGUCGAGAUAAUCCUGAGGGUGUUGAUGUCGAUAGCCUCGAUCCCUGGAAUGUUCUGGACAUUAGGUUGGACACGCGUCGUAGAUGGGAUUCUCCCUGUAGUUAUGAGGUCGCUUGGCGGUGGAGCAAGGAGAUUCGAUGACAUGGCAAGAUUUGAUGGAGCAAGGAGAUUUGACGACGAAGCAAGAUUUGAUGAUGAGUUGAUGGUGGAACGAGAAGAUUGCCGAUGUCUGUUGUCGAGUUAUGUGGUUGACUUGAGCAUCUAUGAGAUUGAAGUGGAGCGUGUCUGUGCCUAAGGUGUGCCAUGUUAGAAGGAGGUGCACCUUCUAACAUACUUUUUCCCUGCAAGGGAUACAACCAAUACAACAUAUCGUAUACAAGUG